CACGAUUGGUCAGAACGUUCUGUGUUGAUUGAGGUUAUUGUCGGAAAACGCGUGAAGAAUGAGCGGAAAGUUUAUCACAGAUCCACCUAAAGUCACAGCCGACAGCUUCGUUGACUAUUUGACAUCUGACGACACUCUGGUCCACUUCUUCAAUGAGUUCUUGAGCCUGCCGUCCUUCCCCCAGGCCGUCACCUACAACCGGCAGACUGGUGUGUUUGAAGAGGUGAGCGAUGCGGCAGAGUCUCUCUCCAGGACCAUC